UGGUGGAGUGAUUUGUCUGCUUAAUUGCGAUAACGAACGAGACCUUAACCUGCUAAAUAGCCAGGCUAGCUUUGGCUGGACGCCGGCUUCUUAGAGGGACUAUCGGCUCAAGCCGAUGGAAGUUUGAGGCAAUAACA
rnacentral:rRNA from 1 species